rnacentral:rRNA from 1 species
UAAGUAGGGGGCACGCAUUGUCCGGAAUUAUUGGGCGUAAAGCGCGCGCAGGCGGUCUCUUAAGUCUGAUGUGAAAGCCCACGGCUCAACCGUGGAGGGUCAUUGGAAACUGGGAGACUUGAGUGUAGGAGAGGAAAGUGGAAUUCCACGUGUAGCGGUGAAAUGCGUAGAGAUGUGGAGGAACACCAGUGGCGAAGGCGACUUUCUGGCCUAUAACUGACGCUGAGGCGCGAAAGCGUGGGGAGCAAACAGG